rnacentral:rRNA from 1 species
GAUGAACGCUGGCGGCGUGCCUAAUACAUGCAAGUCGAGCGAACAGACGAGGAGCUUGCUUCUCUGACGUUAGCGGCGGACGGGUGAGUAACACGUGGAUAACCUACCUAUAAGACUGGGAUAACUUCGGGAAACCGGAGCUAAUACCGGAUGAUAUAUUGAACCGCAUGGUUCAAUAGUGAAAGACGGUUUUGCUGUCACUUAUAGAUGGAUCCGCGCUGCAUUAGCUAGUUGGUAAGGUAACGGCUUACCAAGGCAACGAUGCGUAGCCGACCUGAGAGGGUGAUCGGCCACACUGGAACUGAGACACGGUCCAGACUCCUACGGGAGGCAGCAGUAGGGAAUCUUCCGCAAUGGGCGAAAGCCUGACGGAGCAACGCCGCGUGAGUGAUGAAGGUCUUCGGAUCGUAAAACUCUGUUAUUAGGGAAGAACAAAUGUGUAAGUAACUAUGCACGUCUUGACGGUACCUAAUCAGAAAGCCACGGCUAACUACGUG